rnacentral:rRNA from 1 species
UACGAGGGGUGCAAGCGUUGCUCGGAAUCAUUGGGCGUAAAGGGCAGGUAGGUGGUCUCAUUUGUCUGGGGUGAAAGCCCGGGGCUUAACCCCGGAAGUGCCCCAGAAACGGUGAGACUGGAGUGCUGGAGAGGGUCGUGGAAUUCCCGGUGUAGCGGUGAAAUGCGUAGAGAUCGGGAGGAACACCAGAGGCGAAGGCGGCGACCUGGACAGUGACUGACACUCAACUGCGAAAGCGUGGGGAGCAAACAGG